GAUGAACGCUGGCGGCGUGCCUAAUACAUGCAAGUCGAGCGAAAGGCCGAGACGCUUGCUUCUCUGUUGUUAUCGCCGGACGGGUGAGUAACACGUGCCUAAUCUAUUUAUAAGCCUUGGAUAUUUUCGGGAAACCUGCUAUAGUUACGGAUAAUCUUUUGAAUCGCCUGCUUCAACAGUGUCACCCGGUCUUGCUUACAUUUCUAGAUGCAUCCCCGCUUCAUUAGCUAAUUGGUAUGGUAACGGCAUACCAAGGCAACGAUGCAUAGCCGACGUGAGAGGGUGAUCGAACACACGCGAACUAAAUCGCUGUCCAGACUCCUACGGUAAGCGUCAGUAUGGAAUCUUCGGCAAUGGGCGAAAGCCUGACGCAGCAUCGCCGCGUGGGUGAUUAAGGUCUUCUGAUCGUAAAGCUCUGUUAUUUAGAAAGAACAUAUGUAUAGGUAACUGUUCACAUCUUGACGGUACCGAAUCAGAAAACCACGACUAACUACGUG
rnacentral:rRNA from 1 species